CUCCCUUCCCUCGAACCCGUAGCUUCCCUCAUAAGCCAGAUUAAAAUCUCCUUUCUUCUCCUACAUGACAGCUUCCAGGACAAGUCAGUAGUCCCUUUUCCCCUUGUAUCCCUCGACUUCCUGAGCAAGCAAGUGAUUUCCCUUCUCUUCCUCACUCACCCGUUGGUCCUAAGACAAACAAAAGAAAAGAUUUUCCUCAAGUGUUCCUCCCCUCACAUGAAGAACCCUUCGGUUUCCCCUCUCCCAGCCGCGCGACUUCUCCUUUCCCCAAAGCCGAUCUCUCUCAUUUUGUAAACCUAAGAUUUUCCAUCGAAAAUCCUCAAGGAACCAAUCCCCCCAAAUCUUUCAGUUUUGCUCUUCCUCUUCUCGUUGCCAUGUAUUUUCGUGGCUUCUAAGGGGACCCAAAUAGGUAUGAAUGAUGAGGCUGUGGAGCAGGCACUGCUGAGGAGGGAAGGGUUGAUGCUUAGUAUUCCCUGUUGUUUCGGUUUGGUGAUAAUGGUUAUGUUUUAUGUUUUAUGAUGGGUCCCAUGUUGGGACGUUUUGUUGGUUUGACUUUAAAACAAUAUGUCCUUGGGCAUGAUGUAGGUAUUGUGGUGGGAUGAUGAUAAUAGUGUAACUUCUAUAGUGGGGUGAUGGUAACCCCACAUAAGAAGAAUAAAUGUCUUUUGGGUGUGUUGUAGGGACGGAGUCCCCUUUUUAUUGGAACCAACAAUGUUUUAAAUGAAUGAAUGGUGGACUCUGAGAGUCCUUUGGGUAAUAUGUUGAA